CAUGUACAUAGCUCUCCAGGGGGACUGUCACUACCUUGCUUGAUUCACAUGCUAAGAUCUUGACCCCAUUGCCAUGGACAGGGUUGAUAGUUACUGUGAUUGACAGUUCCACCAUAAUUACAAGGACUUAGGGACCAACAGUUCCCCAAAGGAGCAGCAGACAUUUUACUAUUCGCUCAUCCAUUUACUCAAAGAAUGUUUAUUAAUUGUCUCUUAUGGACCAGGCACUGUUCUGAGCAUUGGGCUAAUAUCAGUGCCAAAGAACAUGAAGAACUCUCUGCCCUCAUAGAACUUAUGUCUCACUGAUAGCAAGAGGAGACACAUAGUGCAUAAACAAAAGACAGAAAAUUUUGAAUGUAGUUAAGUGCUACAUUUAACAUAAAAUAAGAUGAUGUCGGGAGAGUGCAGAGUGGCCAGAGACAGCAUCUCUCAGUAGGCCACCUUGAAACGGAGACCUAAAUGCCAAGAAGGAGUCAGCCAUGCAUAGAUUUGUGGUAAGCUGAACAAAUCAGCUUUCAACAAUCUUGCUUAAGUAUCUCAGGCAUUCAUUUUAUUAGUUAAUUGGUUUUUGCUCCAUCUCUUUUGGGGCAUUUUAUUGUUUUCAA
rnacentral:lncRNA from 1 species